rnacentral:rRNA from 1 species
AUUGAACGCUGGCGGCAGGCCUAACACAUGCAAGUCGAGCGGAUGAAGGGAGCUUGCUCCUGGAUUCAGCGGCGGACGGGUGAGUAAUGCCUAGGAAUCUGCCUGGUAGUGGGGGAUAACGUCCGGAAACGGGCGCUAAUACCGCAUACGUCCUGAGGGAGAAAGUGGGGGAUCUUCGGACCUCACGCUAUCAGAUGAGCCUAGGUCGGAUUAGCUAGUUGGUGGGGUAAAGGCCUACCAAGGCGACGAUCCGUAACUGGUCUGAGAGGAUGAUCAGUCACACUGGAACUGAGAGACGGUCCAGACUCCUACGGGAGGCAGCAGUGGGGAAUUUUGGACGAUGGGCGAAAGCCUGAUCCAGCCAUGCCGCGUGUGUGAAGAAGGUCUUCGGAUUGUAAAGCACUUUAAGUUGGGAGGAAGGGCAGUAAGUUAAUACCUUGCUGUUUUGACGUUACCAACAGAAUAAGCACCGGCUAACUUCGUG